rnacentral:tRNA from 1 species
GGCCGGGUAGCUCAGUUGGUAGAGCAGGGGAUUGAAAAUCCCCGUGUCGGCGGUUCGAUUCCGUCCUCGGCCA